UACAGAGGUCUUAAGCGUUGUUCGGAUUCAUUGGGCGUAAAGGGUGUGUAGGUGGCGCGUAAGUCGGGUGUGAAAUUUCGGAGCUUAACUCCGAAACUGCAUUCGAUACUGCGGUGCUUGAGGACUGGAGAGGAGACUGGAAUUCAUGGUGUAGCAGUGAAAUGCGUAGAGAUCAUGAGGAAGACCAGUGGCGAAGGCGGGUCUCUGGACAGUUCCUGACACUGAGACACGAAGGCCAGGGGAGCAAACGGG
rnacentral:rRNA from 1 species